CCUACGGGGUGGCUGCAGUGGGGAAUAUUGCACAAUGGGGGAAACCCUGAUGCAGCGACGCCGCGUGAAGGAAGAAGUAUUUCGGUAUGUAAACUUCUAUCAUCAGGGAAGAAAAUGACGGUACCUGCCUAAGAUGCCUCGGCUAACUACGUGCCAGCAGCCGCGGUAAUACGUAGGGGGCAAGCUGUAUCCGGAUUUACUGGGUGUAAAGGGAGCGUAGGCGGUGCAGCAAGUCAGAAGUGAAAGCCCGGGGCUCAACUCCGGGACUGCUUUUGAAACUGUUGGACUAGAUUGCAGGAGAGGUAAGUGGAAUGCGUGGUGGAGCGGUGAAAUGCGUAGAUAUUAGGAGGAACACCAGUGGCGAAGGCGGCUUACUGGACUGUAAAUGACGCUGAGGCACGAAAGCGUGGGGAGCAAACAGGAUUAGAUACCCUGGUAGUC
rnacentral:rRNA from 1 species